rnacentral:rRNA from 1 species
CAGUAGCCGCGGUAAUACGAAGGGUGCAAGCGUUACUCGGAAUUACUGGGCGUAAAGCGUGCGCAGGCGGUUGUGUAAGACAGGUGUGAAAUCCCCGGGCUUAACCUGGGAACUGCGCUUGUGACUGCACAGCUAGAGUAUGGCAGAGGGGGGUGGAAUUCCACGUGUAGCAGUGAAAUGCGUAGAGACGUGGAGGAACACCGAUGGCGAAGGCAGCCCCCUGGGCCAAUACUGACGCUCAUGCACGAAAGCGUGGGGAGCAAACAGGAUUAGAUACCCCCGUAGUCCCUGUCUCUUAUAC